UGCUCUUCUGAUCUGGCGGGUGUCCCCUUCCUCCCUCACCUCUCCAUGUGCGUCCCUCCCAAAGCUGCACGCUCGGCCGAAGAGGACGACCUUCCCCGAUAGAGGAGGACCGUUCUUCGGUCAAGGGUAUACGAGUAGCUGCGCUCCCCUGCUAGAACCUCCAAACAAGCUCUCAAGGCCCAUUUGUAGGAGAACGUAGGGUAGU